AUUGAACGCUGGCGGCAUGCUUUACACAUGCAAGUCGAACGGCAGCGCGGGCUUCGGCCUGGCGGCGAGUGGCGAACGGGUGAGUAAUGCAUCGGAACGUGCCCAGUCGUGGGGGAUAGCCCGGCGACAGCCGGAUUAAUACCGCAUACGACCUGAGGGUGAAAGCGGGGGACCGAAAGGCCUCGCGCUAUUGGAUCGGCCGAUGUCGGAUUAGCUAGUUGGUGGGGUAAAGGCUUACCAAGGCGACGAUCCGUAGCUGGUCUGAGAGGACGACCAGCCACACUGGGACUGAGACACGGCCCAGACUCCUACGGGAGGCAGCAGUGGGGAAUUUUGGACAAUGGGGGCAAGCCUGAUCCAGCCAUGCCGCGUGCGGGAAGAAGGCCUUCGGGUUGUAAAACGCUUUUGUUCGGGAAGAAAUCCUGUGGGCUAAUACCCCGGGGGGAUGACGGUACCGGAAGAAUAAGCACCGGCUAACUACGUG
rnacentral:rRNA from 1 species